rnacentral:rRNA from 1 species
GAUGAACGCUGGCGGCGUGCUUAACACAUGCAAGUCGAACGAUGAAGCCCCUGCUUGCAGGGGUGGAUUAGUGGCGAACGGGUGAGUAACACGUGAGCAACCUGCCCCUGACUCUGGGAUAAGCGCUGGAAACAGUGUCUAAUACUGGAUAUGUGCCACGGCCGCAUGGUCUGUGGUUGGAAAGAUUUUUCGGUUGGGGAUGGGCUCGCGGCCUAUCAGCUUGUUGGUGAGGUAAUGGCUCACCAAGGCGUCGACGGGUAGCCGGCCUGAGAGGGUGACCGGCCACACUGGGACUGAGGCACGGCCCAGACUCCUACGGGAGGCAGCAGUGGGGAAUAUUGCACAAUGGGCGGAAGCCUGAUGCAGCAACGCCGCGUGAGGGAUGACGGCCUUCGGGUUGUAAACCUCUUUUAGCAGGGAAGAAGCGAAAGUGACGGUACCUGCAGGAAAAGCACCGGCUAACUACGUGCCAGCCGCCGCCGUAACAC